AUGGUACUCCCUCGGUCUCAAAAUUCUUGUCUUACAUUUGUUUAGAUACGAAUAUAUCUAGUCAAGUUUUUGUAUUUAGAUACAUCAAUUUCUAGAAAAAGCUAAGACAAGAAUUUUGGAUGGAGGUAGUACGUU
rfam:Hordeum vulgare subsp. vulgare, WGS project CAJW01000000 data, contig: morex_contig_46943